GACGAACGCUGGCGGCGUGCCUAAUACAUGCAAGUCGAACGCAGUGGGGACGGGUGAGUAACACGUGGGUAACCUCCCAUCAGAGGGGACAACACUUGGAAACAGGUGCUAAACCGAUACUGAUGGAUGGACCCGCGGGUCAUUAGCUAGUUGGUGAGGUAACGGCUCACCAAGGCCAAGAUGCAUAGCGGACCUGAGAGGCUGAUCAGCCACACUGGAACUGAGACACGGUCCAGACUCCUACGGGAGGCAGCAGUGGGGAAUAUUGGACAAGGGGGGCAAGCCUGAUGCAGCCAUGCCGCGUGUAUGAAGAAGGCCUUCGGGUUGUAAAGUACUUUAAGCGGGGAGGCGUUACCCGCAGAAGAAGCACCGGCUAACUCCGUGUCAGCAGCCGCGGUAAUUC
rnacentral:rRNA from 1 species